AGAGUUUGAUCCUGGCUCAGGACGAACGCUGGCGGCGUGCCUAACACAUGCAAGUCGAGCGAGGUGUAUACACCUAGCGGCGGACGGGUGAGUAACACGUGGGUAACCUGCCUCAGAGAGGGGAAUAGCCUUCCGAAAGGAAGAUUAAUACCGCAUAAUAUACGCAUUUAGCAUUAUGAGCGUAUCAAAGGAGAAAUCCGCUUUGAGAUGGGCCCGCGGCGCAUUAGCUAGUUGGAGAGGUAACGGCUCACCAAGGCGACGAUGCGUAGCCGACCUGAGAGGGUGAUCGGCCACAUUGGAACUGAGACACGGUCCAGACUCCUACGGGAGGCAGCAGUGGGGAAUAUUGCACAAUGGGGGAAACCCUGAUGCAGCAACGCCGCGUGAAUGAUGAAGGCCUUCGGGUCGUAAAGUUCUUUGAUUGGGGACGAUAAUGACGGUACCCAAAAAACAAGCCACGGCUAACUACGUGCCAGCAGCCGCGGUAAUACGUAGGUGGCGAGCGUUGUCCGGAUUUACUGGGCGUAAAGGAUGCGUAGGUGGAAACUUAAGUGGGAUGUGAAAUCCCCGGGCUCAACCCGGGAACUGCAUUCCAAACUGGGUUACUUGAGUGCAGGAGAGGAAAGCGGAAUUCCUAGUGUAGCGGUGAAGUGCGUAGAUAUUAGGAAGAACACCAGUGGCGAAGGCGGCUUUCUGGACUGUAACUGACACUGAGGCAUGAAAGCGUGGGGAGCAAACAGGAUUAGAUACCCCGGUAGU
rnacentral:rRNA from 1 species